CCACAUGACAGGCUCGCGUCAUCAUUCUUGGUCAUGUGACAUCCAGAAAAAUUGAAGCUUUCGAUCGGCUAGUAAAGUGAGAAGAGUUGAAAACUUAUAAACACACUUCUUGAGUUCAUCGUUUUAAUUCUACUUUACAAACGAUCACAGAACACUCACCAAUAACUGUGCAAAAAGUUCACGACUUUUAUUUGUAUUCGUUCAGGCAACGAGCAGAGAGGUUCAGGAUUUGAUCGAUGCUGGCAAAUCUUUCCAGAGAGUUUCCCAGUGCGUGCAUUUCAACAUAUUAUACAAAUGACAGCAUCCGCGUCGUGUGAUUUGAAUAAAUCAGAAAAUUUGUCAUCAAUCUGUGAGGCUUUUGAAGACUUCCACCUCGACCAAUCUGGAU